rnacentral:rRNA from 1 species
AUGAACAAAGCGCGCGGCUUUCCUGGCAUGCUUGGCUCAAUAGAUUGCAUGCAUUGGAGUUGGAAGAAUUGUCCAAAGGCAUGGCAUGGGCAAUUCCACGGCCAAAAAAAGGGUUCCACUAUAAUCCUUGAAGCGGUGGCCGAUCAGGAGACUUGGAUUUGGCAUGCAUUCUUUGGAAUGCAUGGAUCUUUGAAUGAUAUCAAUGUUCUCAACCGGUCACCACUGAUGAAUAAGAUUGCAAACGGUGAGUUGCCACCUGUGCAGUUUGUAGCAAAUGGCCAUACGUACAACUAUGGCUAUUAUCUAGCGGAUGGCAUCUAUCCAAAGUGGCAAACCUUUGUG